AUUGAACGCUGGCGGCAGGCCUAACACAUGCAAGUCGAGCGAGCGGCGGACGGGUGAGUAAUGUAUGGGGAUCUGCCCGAUAGAGGGGGAUAACUACUGGAAACGGUGGCUAAUACCGCAUACUAUCGGAUGAACCUAGAUGGGAUUAGCUAGUAGGUGGGGUAACGGCUAACCUAGGCGACGAUCCCUAGCUGGUCUGUGAGGAUGACCAGCCACACUGGAACUGAGACACUGUCCAGCCUCCUACGGGAGGCAGCAGUGGGGAAUAUUGCACAAUGGGCGCAAGCCUGAUACAGCCAUUCCGCGUGUAUGAAGAGGGCCUUCGGGUUGUAAAGUACUUUCAGCGAGGAGGCGUUACUCGCAGAAGAAGCACCGGCUAACUCCGUGCCAGCAGCCGCGGUAAUUC
rnacentral:rRNA from 1 species